rnacentral:rRNA from 1 species
AUACGAAAGGUGCAAGCGUUGUUCGGAUUUACUGGGCGUAAAGAGAGUGUAGGUUGUUUAUUAAGUCGGAUGUGAAAUCCCGGGGCUCAACCUCGGAACUGCGUUCGAUACUGGUAGACUAGAGUUCGGGAGGGGUAAGCGGAAUUCCGUGUGUAGCAGUGAAAUGCGUAGAUAUACGGAGGAACACCUGAGGCGAAGGCGGCUUACUGGACCGAUACUGACACUGAGACUCGAAAGCGUGGGUAGCAAACAGGAUUAGAUACCCUAGUAGUCC